GACGAACGCUGGCGGCGUGCUUAACACAUGCAAGUCGAACGGUGAUGCUCCAGCUUGCUGGAGUGGAUCAGUGGCGAACGGGUGAGUAACACGUGAGCAACCUGCCCCAGACUCUGGAAUAAGCGCUGGAAACGGCGUCUAAUACUGGAUACGAAACUGGCCCGCAUGGGCAUGGUUUGGAAAGUUUUUCGGUUUGGGAUGGGCUCGCGGCCUAUCAGCUUGUUGGUGAGGUAAUGGCUCACCAAGGCGACGACGGGUAGCCGGCCUGAGAGGGCGACCGGCCACACUGGGACUGAGACACGGCCCAGACUCCUACGGGAUGCAGAAGUGGGGAAUAUUGCACAAUGGGCGAUAGCCUGAUGCAGCGACGCCGCGUGAGGGAUGACGGCCUUCGGGUUUUAAACCUCUUUCAGCAGGGAAGAAGCGAAAGUGACGGUACCUGCAGAAGAAGCACCGGCUAACUACGUG
rnacentral:rRNA from 1 species